rnacentral:rRNA from 1 species
AACGAACGCUGGCGGCGUGCCUAACACAUGCAAGUCGAACGAGACCUUCGGGUCUAGUGGCGCACGGGUGCGUAACGCGUGGGAACCUGCCUUUAGGUUCGGAAUAACUCAGAGAAAUUUGAGCUAAUACCGGAUAAUGUCUUCGGACCAAAGAUUUAUCGCCUUUAGAUGGGCCCGCGUAAGAUUAGCUAGUUGGUGGGGUAAAGCCUACCAAGGCGACGAUCUUUAGCUGGUCUGAGAGGAUGAUCAGCCACACUGGGACUGAGACACGGCCCAGACUCCUACGGGAGGCAGCAGUGGGGAAUAUUGGACAAUGGGCGAAAGCCUGAUCCAGCAAUGCCGCGUGAGUGAUGAAGGCCUUAGGGUUGUAAAGCUCUUUUACCCGAGAUGAUAAUGACAGUAUCGGGAGAAUAAGCUCCGGCUAACUCCGUGCCAGCAGCCGCGGUAAU